rnacentral:rRNA from 1 species
UACGUAGGGUGCGAGCGUUGUCCGGAAUUAUUGGGCGUAAAGGGCUCGUAGGCGGUUUGUCGCGUCGGGAGUGAAAUCUCAGGGCUUAACCCUGAGCCUGCUUCCGAUACGGGCAGACUAGAGGUAUGCAGGGGAGAACGGAAUUCCUGGUGUAGCGGUGAAAUGCGCAGAUAUCAGGAGGAACACCGGUGGCGAAGGCGGUUCUCUGGGCAGUAACUGACGCUGAGGAGCGAAAGCGUGGGGAGCGAACAGG